UACGUAGGGUGCAAGCGUUGUCCGGAAUUAUUGGGCGUAAAGAGCUCGUAGGCGGUCUGUCGCGUCUGUUGUGAAAACUCGAGGCUCAACCUCGGGCUUGCAGUGGAUACGGGCAGACUAGAGUGCGGUAGGGGGAGACUGGAAUUCCUGGUGUAGCGGUGGAAUGCGCAGAUAUCAGGAGGAACACCGAUGGCGAAGGCAGGUCUCUGGGCCGCAACUGACGCUGAGGGAAG
rnacentral:rRNA from 1 species